UACGUAGGAGGCAAGCGUUGUCCGGAUUUAUUGGGCGUAAAGCGAGCGCAGGCGGUCUUUUAAGUCUGAUGUGAAAGCCCCCGGCUUAACCGGGGAGGGGCAUUGGAAACUGGGAGACUUGAGUGCAGAAGAGGAAAGCGGAAUUCCAUGUGUAGCGGUGAAAUGCGUAGAUAUAUGGAGGAACACCAGUGGCGAAGGCGGCUUUCUGGGCUGUAACUGACGCUGAGGCUCGAAAGCGUGGGGAGCAAACAGGAUUAGAUACCCUGGUAGUCCACGCCGUAAACGAUGAGUGCUAAGUGUUGGUGUGUUUCCGCCCUUCAGUGCUGCAGCGAACGCAUUAAGCACUCCGCCUGGGGAGUACGACCGCAAGGUUGAA
rnacentral:rRNA from 1 species